rnacentral:rRNA from 1 species
AAUGAACGUUGGCGGCAUGGAUUAGGCAUGCAAGUCGGGGGAAUCCCAGCAAUGGGGGAACCGGCGUAAGGGGCAGUAAGGCAUGGGUACCUACCUUGGGGUUCGGGAUAGCCAUCAGAGAUGGUGGGUAAUACCGGAUGACGUCGUGAGACCAAAGAUUUAUCGCCCUUAGAGGGGCCCAUGUGAUAUUAGCUAGUUGGUGGGAUAACGGCCCACCAAGGCGAAGAUGUCUAGCGGGUGUGUGAGCACGACCCGCGCCACUCGCACUGAGACACUGGCGAGACACCUACGGGUGGCUGCAGUCGAGGAUCUUCGGCAAUGAGCGCAAGCUUGACCGAGCGAUGCCGCGUGAGCGAUGAAGGCCUUCGGGUUGUAAAGCUCUUUAGUGGGGGAGAAAAGCCGCAAGGUGUGAUCUAUCCCAAAAAUAAGCACGGGCUAAGUUCGUGCCAGCAGCCGCCGUAA